UUCCGCGCUCGUCUGCAGCAGACGCCACUGUUCUUUUCCUUGUUUCUUCCCCGCCUCCAGAAGCUACCUUGGCACCGGCAGGUCCACAUUGACCUGGGCGAGACCUACAGGCUGGCGGGGACGAGUCGACGUAGGCGACUUCUGGGCUGACGGGAUGCGACCAUAUGGUGGCGGUCGCAGCAGGCCGGCCGCAGCGCGUUGAUCUAGACGACCUUAGAGGAGAUCUGGGCAAAGAUGGCAAGGGUUCAGAUGUGCAGCUAAGAGCCGCACAACAGUAGAGUGACAUUGUCAAGGUAGCUAAACGUUGAGGCUCCUCCUCAGCUCCAGCCAAACAGAUGCAAUAAUAUCUGGUACCUGAUCGUAGAAGUGUAGAUUGACUGCGUUCUUAUUUUUGUCGUGUGAUCUCCAUCUCUCCAGCUAUGGAGCUAAUUGAAUAAUGGGGAAAAGGUGAUUUCAAACAGCACCCGUGACUUCACCUAUGGUUUUCUAGAAUGUGUUUUGAAAGGAGCAGAGGAAGCAAUCUCACAUGUCGCUGGCGAGACAACUGUUUCAUCAUCAGAAUUGGGGUGGAUCUACGCAAAUCUGUAAGGCAACUAUCCAAGGUGCAUGGCUUACUCAAUGAGGGAAAUGUCUUCUAUAGUGGAAUGUACUAACUGGUGUGACAGUGUUCGAUAGGGGUAUCUAGUAAAAAGGAACAAUAGAAUUGAGUUGAUGGCAAUGUUGGGAGUAUUUGGAGCAGUUAUAAAGUCAGUCAGUCCCAUUGUUGGGCAAAGCCGAUUGUCAAAAGAUCGUUUUGCUAAGAUGCUUGCUUGAAUCUACCUACUUCCAAAAAAGGCUUUUUUUUUUCACUCUAUACGCAAUUCCCUGACAAUGAGUACGUCUUCUCUGAUAAUGAUCUGCUACGUUCACUAACGUCGAGCUCAUCAGGAUACAAGUAAAGCUCACACUGUUUUACCAUGAGCAUACUGAGUUUCGUUGCACAAUGGUCUAGAACUUAAUUUUUCAUAUUAUUCUUCACUCCAAACAUAUCUUGGAGGUCAGCUUAAGGCUAGACUAUGUCAGCUCUUGUACUUUUGUUCCCGGUGAGUUUUGAGGUGGUGGGUAUCCAUGUAGGAAUGUUUCUCCAAUUUUGAGGUGCCUUUUUGUGCAAUUCUGCAAUGUGUGUCUUCUAAUGAAAAUGAACCGCUUCUUUAAAAGGUAACACUAAGAUAGUUUUAUUUUCAGAAAUAGCAUUUCGCUGUUAUGGGCCAAAUAUUGAAAAUUUGUAAAUGACUAAAUGGUCAGUAUGAGGCGCGUCCCAGCAACGUUUUUAUGCACUUUGUGCUGAUCAAUAGUACCUUGAAAUAUUCCCGAGUUGCCUUUUUUUCUCACUGGCCUCAACACUUGAUACACCAUUUAGUUAGUCAUUGCAUGGUUCUAGGCAGCUUCAGUUGUUCCUCUAGAAGAACUUUAUCAUAUAAGAUUUAGUUUUAUCCUUCGAUAUUGAUGUGCAAUGUUUCUUAAGUAUUCUUUGUAUUAUGACCUGAUUUACAAUAUGCAUCUGAUUAUGUACAAUAUUUCAGAGGUUUAUCCUUUACAGAAGUGUUCAGGCAGAUAUUCUUAUGCUCGACUGGACAUCUGCUGGUGAAUAUCUGAACUUAGUUAGUUGAGGUUAGCAUUGGAGGUUUGGCUGACUUUGUUGGCUUUGUUGCCCUGAACUAAAUUAAGUGCCGCUCGCCUCUAGCUACUUUGGCUGACUCGGCUGUUCUGGCUCCGGCAUGGUGCUGCCGUAAUAUAAUGUACUGAACAAUUUACGACUCUUUGUCAGUAUAAAUGCUCAAGCUCUUCACAAA